UGCAGAACUCUUAGCAUCUUCUCUAGCACC
rnacentral:piRNA from 1 species